GGAGAGGUGGCCGAGUGGCCGAAGGCGCGGCACUGGAAAUGCCGUGUAUCCCCAAAAGGGAUACCGCGGGUUCGAAUCCCGCCCUCUCCG
rnacentral:tRNA from 1 species